ensembl:lncRNA
CAGCGUCCACUGAAGCAGUGCCCCUGUGAUUUACCUGCGGCACAGAGAUGCAAAUCAAGCAGGAAGACUGAUUACAUCUAACCCUAGUAAAGGCACUAACGCUAUUUCCAAAGCAGCCAAGGGAAAUUUGUACUGCUUAGGAGAGCCAUCGCAAUGAUCUGCAUGAGCCAGAGCAGCGAGCAACUAUCCAUGGACCAGUCCAGAUCCACAGGAACUGCUACAGGGCUUUUGCUUUGCCCCAUUCUCAACAGAUGACUUUUUUGGAUAAAAGGUCCCAUACAAAUGUGCCAGACAUUAUUUCCAUUGGGCAAAACAGCAUCAGAAGGGUUAACCAUCUCAUGAGAAUACCUCGUUCUCACUGAUGUGAGGUUGAUAGAUGGUUAGGAACCUUCCUCCUUCAUUACACGUUUUCCUCCCAUGCCUCAGCUGAAAGGCAGAAAUACCUGUUAAAGAAAAG